rnacentral:rRNA from 1 species
UACGAAGGGGGCUAGCGUUGCUCGGAAUCACUGGGCGUAAAGCGCACGUAGGCGGAUUGUUAAGUCAGGGGUGAAAUCCUGGAGCUCAACUCCAGAACUGCCUUUGAUACUGGCGAUCUUGAGUCCGGGAGAGGUGAGUGGAACUGCGAGUGUAGAGGUGAAAUUCGUAGAUAUUCGCAAGAACACCAGUGGCGAAGGCGGCUCACUGGCCUGGUACUGACGCUGAGGUGCGAAAGCGUGGGGAGCAAACAGG